AUGUAUGAACCUUCUAACACAUUUUUUUUUCUGUUGUAUAAUGUUUUAGAAUGUGUUUUGUUGGGUUACUUUGGGUCAAUCAUCAGGUCACUUCUUUUGGAUAUCUCUGUUAGAAUCGUUUUGUUUCAGAGUGUGUGCUUCUUAGAUCGUGAACGCCAUUCUCCCUGCAUGGGAGUGCCAUUAGGUAAAGCUCCUGUAGUAUUAGCCUUAUUCUUCCAUCAGGUUGUCCUUGAGAGCCGAGAGAAUCCUCUAUAUUUACUUGUUGGAUCGUUUGCUCUUUAUUAUGGGAAGUAUCCAUUAUCCAUUGUCUGUUCAUAUAAUUGA
rnacentral:rRNA from 1 species